AACGUAGGUCCCGAGCGUUAUCCGGAUUUACUGGGCGUAAAGGGCGUGUAGGCGGCCUUGGAAGUCGGGCAUGAAAUCUUCUGGCUCAACCGGGAGAGGCUGUCCGAUACUCCAAAGCUUGAGUGCUGGAGAGGCGGGUGGAAUUCCGCGUGUAGUGGUGAAAUGCGUAGAGAUGCGGAGGAACACCAGUGGCGAAAGCGGCCCGCUGGCCAGCGACUGACGCUGAAACGCGAAAGCUAGGGGAGCGAACGGG
rnacentral:rRNA from 1 species